rnacentral:rRNA from 1 species
CGGGACGGGUGAGUAAUGUCUGGGAAACUGCCUGAUGGAGGGGGGUAGCUACUGGAAACGGUAGCUAAUACCGCAUAACGUCGCAAGACCAAAGAGGGGGACCUUAGGGCCUCUUGCCAUCGGAUGUGCCCAGAUGGGAUUAGCUAGUAGGUGGGGUAACGGCUCACCUAGGCGACGAUCCCUAGCUGGUCUGAGAGGAUGACCAGCCACACUGGAACUGAGACACGGUCCAG